CGUCCAAUAGAUAAACUGUGUCUUAUUUUGGAAAUGGACGAACCUUCUGUGUGAUGUGUUAUCAAACUUUCAUUGUGCUUUUUCAUAUUUAUUGCUUAUCUAAGGCAACCUAUGACAUUUUAUUGACACGGGUACUUUUUCAAUGUGUAUAAUUUGAUUAUAUAUCAAGUAUUAUGAUUUGUAUAAUUGUGUCACAUAAUGUUCCACAAUUAGGGGGCUGGAUUGUUAUAGCCAAUUUAACAUUAUAUACAUUUUUCCGGAUUGAGUUUGAAUUUUAGAAUAUUCCGGAUUUCCGGAUUUGGUUUUGUUAUUAGGAUUUUUCGCGGGGAACGAGCAGUUUAGAUUUUUUCCUAGUCCCUGUGCUGAACACCAUUUACAUUUACCAUGUUUACUAUGUUUAUUUCUACGAGAGAAAACUUCUAAGUUGGUAAGUUAACAUGAAAUCUGCUUGUGUAUUGUUUUGUGCAGAAAGUUAUGUAUAAACGAUAGAUAUAAAUGUGUAAACAAAAGUGUUCAACUGUGAAGAUGUAUUUUUAGUAACAUGUUAGAAUGUUGGCACAAGGGAUAUAUCGAGAAUGUUAUAUAAAUUUAAAGCUAUAAGUAUCAUCGUAGCAUGUUUCUAUUGUAUGAUAUAUCGGAAUUUAAGGUUUCAUUGUUUGGAUGCGAUGUUUUGUGCACUCUACCAUAGGCGUACAUAUAUAUUCAUUUUGAAUUGUGUAAUUUGCUAGUAGUAUGAGUUUCGUUAUAUUUGCUAAUUUACUAGAGCAUAUAUAUAAGUGAAAGUAUUGUUUACAAGAACAGGGGCAUAUAUAUUUACUAGAGUGAUAUUUGUCAUAUGCUGAGUGUGUUUUGUUUGUUUAUUCAUAGCAUCAAAACUUAUGUAUGUUUUCUUUGUUUUUCCAGUUAAUCACAUCAUAUCUAGUCACAUCAAGUGUUAUUACAUCAAGUCACGUCAUCAUGUCGUAAAUCGUCAUUCUAGUUAUACAAUGACUGAAUAAAGAUGUGCAUUA
rnacentral:misc_RNA from 1 species